rnacentral:rRNA from 1 species
UGAGGAAUAUUGGACAAUGGAGGAAACUCUGAUCCAGCCAUGCCGCGUGAAGGAAGUAGGCCCUAUGGGUCGUGAACUUCUUUUGGCGCAGAGCAAUAAGGGCCACGCGUGGUCCGAUGAGAGUAUGCGUCGAAUAAGCAUCGGCUAACUCCGUGCCAGCAGCCGCGGUAAUACGGGGGAUGCGAGCGUUAUCCGGAUUUAUUGGGUUUAAAGGGUGCGUAGGCUGCGCGACAAGUCGGCGGUGAAACCCCGGGGCUCAACCCCGGGCCUGCCGUCGAAACUGGCGCGCUGGAGUUCGGAUGCCGUGGGAGGAAUGAGUGGUGUAGCGGUGAAAUGCAUAGAUAUCACUCAGAACACCGAUUGCGAAGGCAUCUCACGAAUCCGAGACUGACGCUGAGGC